UCGAAAGGCAUACGGUAAACCCGCGGAGCAGGAAACUAGUCCACCUCUCUGCGAAUUUCCGAAGCCCCCUUCGUUGAAAAUUGAAAAUCAGAAAAAGGUAAAAUUGGAGGAGAGGUUUAGCGGUAGGGACAGAGAAGAUCAGAGACGUAUGAAAAGGCAUAGAGUUACGGCUAAUAUUUUGAAUCAAUUUUCACUUCCCUUCGACAAGAUAUGUUGUUCAUCGACAAGUGCUGGUGCAGGUCUAACUUUCUUGCCUAAAGCUAGACUGAGAAGGCUGGCAAUGGAAAGCCGCUUUUUCUCUGAGUUAACUGUUGCUCGGUGGAGAACACCUUUGUAUCUACCAUUGCUCAAUACUUCCAUGUGAUCUCCCAGCUGAACAAUGAGGGCUCCUUCUAUGACUGGAACUGAAUGCCACUUUCCAUCAUGAUCCAUGAUUUGCAAGCCCUGAUGAUUUUGAAGAAUGAUAGAUAGCAAAGCAUAAUCUGUGUGUGGUGGCAAGCCUAGUGUAAGAUCUGGCUCAGGACAUGCUGGAUAGCAAUUAACGGCCAUGACCUGGGAGCCUUCUGCAAUAUCUUCAUGUGACAUGACACGAAAGAUGUACCUGGAAGAAACCUAGUUCCUUGCAAGCCAGGUGUGCUUCCUCGAUUAUCCGAGGCCGUUGAAGAGGGUGUCGCAGAAAGGAUAGAUCUACAA